rnacentral:rRNA from 1 species
AGUGAACGCUGGCGGUAGGCCUAACACAUGCAAGUCGAACGGCAGCACAGUAAGAGCUUGCUCUUACGGGUGGCGAGUGGCGGACGGGUGAGGAAUAAAUCGGAAUCUACUUUUUCGUGGGGGAUAACGUAGGGAAACUAACGCUAAUACCGCAUACGACCUACGGGUGAAAGCAGGGGAUAUUCGGACCUUGCGCGAUUGAAUGAGCCGAUGUCGGAUUAGCUAGUUGGCGGGGUAAAGGCCCACCAAGGCGACGAUCCGUAGCUGGUCUGAGAGGAUGAUAAGCUACACUGGAACUGAGACACGGUCCAGAGGCCUACGGGAGGCAGGAGUGGGGAAUAUUGGACAAUUGGCGAAAGCCUGAUCCAGCCAUACAGCGUCGGUGAAGAAGGCCUUCGGGUUGUAAAGCCCUUUUGUUGGGAAAGAAAAGCAGCAGGUUAAUACCCCGCUGUUCUGACGGUACCCAAAGAAUAAGCACCGGCUAACUUCGUG